CCUGUCCGGAUCCACGGGUUUGGACUUUGGCAGGAAAGGGGAGGAUUUCUCCUGCAAAUUCUCAUCUAUUCGUUCAUUCUUAUAAAUCUGAACCUAAUUCUAUCAUGAAAUUAUCGAAACUUCUUAUGCUCUAAUCGUCCUUUAGCCAUGCAGGCUAGGUGAUGUGUUGGUGGUCACCAAGAAACAUGUACAACAACCCGA
rnacentral:lncRNA from 1 species